rnacentral:lncRNA from 1 species
AUCUUUUGCCUCAAAUUCUGUCUUACAGGACUAAUACUCUUGGUUUUAUUCUGUCGCCCAAGUGCGACAGUGUCUCCUGGGUGCACAGGAUUGGAAGAAAUGAGAGGACACCAAUAAGAAAACAAUUGACCAGGAUUUUCCUUUUGAAAUUUGGGGAACCGGUCUGGAUGCAGAGCUGCCCUACUUCAGGAGUACCGGGGAGAGUGUCUAUGCACUUGUUUGGUGGCCCUUGGGGUGUGUCAUCCUGGUAAGCUACACAUCGACUGUGAGCUCAGGACACAGGCACGACUGAGCUCAUUGACAGAUGCUGACUGAAAAGCAAUUCCAAUUAGAGUCUGAUAAAGAAUAGCUUGUCAGAGGACAAGGGAAAUAGUUACUAUUCAUGUUUCCAUUAUGUUGUGUUAGGCAUGGGGACCUUGCGUUUUGAGCAGAAGGCUGCUAAUUUCUCACGUGAUCUUCAUCAAAAAGUACAAAAUCAGUGCGCAGCAUAAAGCUACAGAAACAUGUCUCAGGUGGGUUGUGAAUUACAGAGCCAGAUGGCCUCACCUCCCCAAGGACUGCUGCAAAGUCAUAUACAUUCUUUAUUCAUUAAUUUCAGAUUUUGCCUACCAUUUUUAUAGGUAUUAGGCUUUUCUGCCCGGGAAAAAAAAAAUCCAUUGUAAUGAAGAGGAAAAGAGUAAAUUUGGG